rnacentral:rRNA from 1 species
GACGAACGCUGGCGGCGCGCCUCAUACAUGCAAGUCGAACGUGAAGCCCGGAGCUUGCUCCGGGUGGAAAGUGGCGAACGGGUGAGGAACACGUGAGGAACCUGCCCCGAAGACCGGGAUAACACCGGGAAACCGGUGCUAAUACCGGAUGCCCUCAUCGGAUCUCAUGGUCCGAUGAGGAAAUGGAUUCCGCUUCGGGAUGGCCUCGCGGCCUAUCAGCUUGUUGGUGGGGUAACGGCCCACCAAGGCUUCGACGGGUAGCUGGUCUGAGAGGAUGUCCAGCCACACUGGGACUGAGACACGGCCCAGACUCCUACGGGAGGCAGCAGUAGGGAAUCUUGCGCAAUGGGCGAAAGCCUGACGCAGCGACGCCGCGUGCGGGAUGAAGGCCCUCGGGUCGUAAACCGCUUUCAGCAGGGACGAAAUUGACGGUACCUGCAGAAGAAGCCCCGGCCAACUACGUGCCAGCAGCCGCAGUAA